GUUAAAGUUUUGACCUUAACUGUAGUAAAUGCAGAAUGUGAAAUUUGACAUCAACCAGUAUGGAGAGUUCUCAUGAGGUCCCAUUUCAUAUAGAAACACUGUACUGUUUUCUGUAAUAACUGAAUUAAAGGUCCUGCUCUGACUAGUGGCAGAUGGGUUUCCAUUGGCUCUAUACCUCUCCAACUAUACUCUGCACAUUGAAGCCAAUUCCACAGCAUUUUUUAAAUUCUCAGGCACUGAUUUAAACCUGGGACAGCGGGUGGGUCACACGGGUGCUGUUAAUGAUCAGGUAGAACAGAAAAGCAGCAGGCUACAGACCUCGUAGGGCCAGAGCUGAAUACCCCUGUUCUGCAGGCUACGGACCUCGUAGGGCCAGAGCUGAAUACCCCUGUUCUGCAGGCUACGGACCUCGAAGGGCCAAAGCUGAAUACCCCUGUUCUAUGUGUUCUGCUGGGUUUCCUCAGGCUCUCUGAUUCACUUUGAACCCCAGUCCAACCAUCUGAGAGACUUUUAAAGUGGCAUUGUUCAAGCCAGUCGAAAAAAACACUCUGGUGUGAAACAGGGAAAAACAUUCUGGUGUGAAACAGGGAAAAAACACUCUGGUGUGAAACAUUGGAAAAAACACUCUGGUGUGAAACAGUGUAAAAAACACUCUGGUGUGAAACAGGGAAAAAAACACUGGUGUGAAACAGUGUAAAAAACACUGGUGUGAAACAGUGGAAAAAACACUCUGGUGUGAAACAGGGGAAAACACUCUGGUGUGAAACAGGGAAAAAAACUCUGGUGUGAAACAGUGGAAAAAACACUCUGGUGUGAAACAGUGGAAAAACACUGGUGUGAAACAGGGAAAACACUCUGGUGUGAAACAGUGUAAAAAACACUCCGGUGUGAAACAGGGAAAAAACACUCUGGUGUGAAACAGGGAAAAAACUCUGGUGUGAAACAGUGGAAAAAACACUCUGGUGUGAAACAGUGGAAAAACACUGGUGUGAAACAGGGAAAACACUCUGGUGUGAAACAGUGGAAAAAACACUCUGGUGUGAAACAGGGAAAAACACUCUGGUGUGAAACAGGGAAAAAACACUCUGGUGUGAAAACAGGAAAAUGGUCCAAUUCACACACUUAUCAAGAGAACAUCCCUGGUCAAAAUCAAAUCAAAUCAAAUGUAUUUAUAUAGCCCAUCGUACAUCAGCUGAUAUCUCAAAGUGCUGCACAGAAACCCAGCCUAAAACCCCAAACAGCAAGCAAUGCAUGUGAAAGAAGCACGGUGGCUAGGAAAAACUCCAUAGGAAAAACUCCCUAGAAAGGCCAAAAACCUAGGAAGAAACCUAGAGAGGAACCAGGCUAUGAGGGGUGGCCAGUCCUCCUCUGGCUGUGCAGGGUGGAUAUUAUAACAGAACAUGGUCAAGAUGUUAAAAUGUUAAAAUGUUCAUAAAUGACCAGCAUGGUCAAAUAAUAAUAAUCAUAGUAGUUGUCGAGGGUGCAACAAGCACGUCCGGUGAACAGGUCAGGGUUCCAUAGCCGCAGGCAGAACAGUUGAAACUGGAGCAGCAGCACGGCCAGGUGGACUGGGGACAGCAAGGAGUCAUCAUACCAGGUAGUCCUGAGGCAUGGUCCUAGGGCUCAGGUCCUCCGAGAGAAAGACAGAAAGAGAGAAAGAGAGAAUUAGAGAGAGCAUAUUUAAAUUCACACAGGACACCGGAUAAGACAAGAGAAAUACUCCAGAUGUAACAGACUGACCCUAGCCCCCCGACACAUAAACUACUGCAGCAUAAAUACUGGAGGCUGAGACAGGAGGGAUCAGAAGACACUG
rnacentral:lncRNA from 1 species